UGUGUGUGUGUGUGUGUGUGUGUGUGUGUGUGUGUGUGUCACUCUGGCCAAAACCGUUCCAACAUAAGCCCAAUGCGUUUCUAUUGGCUUAUAUUGGACCUUAGCUUGUCGCCUGCCUUCCUGCCUUUGGGACAACGACUCCCAUUGUUCGAGCAGAGACAUGAGCAUCUCGUCAUUACAUAUAGAUCUCUGGCGAAGAGCGUGAGCCAGCGUGUGGGAGAGAGAGAGGAGGAGGAGGAAGGCAGGCCAGCGUGUGAGAGAGAGAGAGGAGGAGGAAGGCAGGCCAGCGUGUGGGAGAGAGAGAGGAGGAGGAAGGCAGGCCAGCGUGUGGGAGAGAGAGAGGAGGAGGAGGAAGGCAGGCCAGCGUGUGAGAGAGAGAGAGGAGGAGGAAGGCAGGCCAGCGUGUGGGAGAGAGAGAGGAGGAGGAGGAAGGCAGGCCAGCGUGUGAGAGAGAGAGAGGAGGAGGAAGGCAGGCCAGCGUGUGGGAGAGAGAGAGGAGGAGGAGGAAGGCAGGCCAGCGUGUGAGAGAGAGAGAGGAGGAGGAAG
rnacentral:lncRNA from 1 species